AGACACCCAGUCAGCCAGUAGACACCCAGCCAGCCAGUUCCUUCACAGCCAGCCAUUAACUCAUGAUUCACUGCCGUCAGAAACCCCGCCAGGCCUUGUACUUAACAGCCAGCCACUAACCCAUGCUUCACCUCUGCCGUUGCGACAGGUGAACAAUCAGUUGCUGCGUGAUUUACCGUCGUCAGAAACCCCGCCAGGCCCCCUACAUCACAGUCAGCCACUAACC